rnacentral:rRNA from 1 species
GAUUAACGCUAGCGGCAGGCCUAAUACAUGCAAGUCGAACGGCAGCACGGAUAGCAAUAUCUGGUGGCGAGUGGCGCACGGGUGCGUAACACGUAUGCAAUCUACCCUUAACUGGGGGAUAGCCCCGAGAAAUCGGGAUUAAUACCCCAUAAUAUUACGAAGUGGCAUCAUUUUGUAAUUAAAGCUCCGGCGGUUCUGGAUGAGCAUGCGCGACAUUAGCUAGUUGGUGAGGUAACGGCUCACCAAGGCUUCGAUGUCUAGGGGUUCUGAGAGGAUUCACCCCCACACUGGUACUGAGACACGGACCAGACUCCUACGGGAGGCAGCAGUAAGGAAUAUUGGUCAAUGGGCGCAAGCCUGAACCAGCCAUGCCGCGUGAAGGAAGACGGCCCUACGGGUUGUAAACUUCUUUUGUACGGGAAAAAACCUCCGGUCGUGAACCGGAGCUGAUGGUACCGUAAGAAUAAGCAUCGGCUAACUCCGUGCCAGCAGCCGCAGUAACAC